CGAGCCGAGUGGACGGUCGCGUUGGGACCAAUGCGUCCCGCCGAGGAACGUCCGGACUCCACAGGGCAGGGUGGUGGCUAACGGCCACCCGGGGUGACCCGCGGUGCCACAGAAAACAGACCGCCGGGGAUUUCGGUCCCCGGUAAGGGUGAAACGGUGGUGUAAGAGACCACCAGUGCCCAGGGUGACCUGGGCAGCUAGGUAAACCCCACCCGGAGCAAGGUCAAGAGGGAGCACCCAGGUGCUCCUGCGCGGACGUUCGAGGGCUGCUCGCCCGAGUCCGCGGGUAGACCGCAUGAGGCUGGCGGCAACGUCGGCCCUAGAUGGAUGGCCGUCUCCCCGGCCGCCGUGAGGCGACCGGGUGACAGAAUCCGGCGUACAGCUCGACUCGUCUG
rnacentral:RNase_P_RNA from 1 species